UAAAAAUUGUAGCCAAACAAACCUAAACUACCAAAAAACAAAACAAACCUUUUAAUUUAAUAGUAUGGGCGAUAGAAAUUUACUAUGAGCAAUAAAAAGAGUACCGCAAGGGAAAGAUGAAAUAAAAAUGAAAUAAAUAAUAAAAACAAAGAAAAGAAAAGACUAAACCCUGUACCUUUUGCAUAAUGGUCUAGUAAGUUCAACCUAACAAAAAGAAAUAAAGUUAGCCACCCCGAAACUAGACGAGCUACUUAAGAGCAGCAUAAUCAGAGCUAACCCGUCUCUGUGGCAAAAGAGUGGGACGACUUUUAAGUAGAGGUGAAAAGCCUAACGAGCCUAGUAAUAGCUGGUUACUUGAGAAAUGAAUAUUAGUUCAGCUUAAAGUAUUUUUAAUAAUUAAAAAUAAAUAUAGCACUUUAAAGUUAAUUAAUAGGGGUACAGCCCUAUUAAUAAAGGAUACAACCUACAUAAUGAAUAAAGAUUAUAUUAACAAAAGAAAUUAACCAUGUAGGCCUAAAAGCAGCCACCAUAAGAAAGCGUCAAAGCUCAACUUACAACCCUCCCCUUAUUAUACUAAUAAAAAAAAUCUAAAUUCACAAAACAUAUCAAGCCUAUCUACUAGUAGAUGAGUUUAUACUAGAAUGAGUAACAAGAACAAAUUCUCUACAUGCAAGCGUAAAUCAGAACGAAAAAAUCACUGAUAAUUAACAAUUUAAAAUACUCAUCAACGAGAAAAACACAUUAAAACAAUUGUUAACCCAACACAGGAGCAUUAAAAAAGAUUUAAAGAUUAAAAAGGAACUCGGCAAUCACAGAGCUCCGCCUGUUUACCAAAAACAUCGCCUCUUGCCCCCCUAAUAUAAGAGGUCCCGCCUGCCCAGUGAUUAAUUUUAACGGCCGCGGUAUCAUGACCGUGCAAAGGUAGCGUAAUCACUUGUCUUUUAAAUAAAGACCUGUAUGAAAGGCAAAACGAAAGCUCAACUGUCUCUUUAAUCUAAUCAGU
rnacentral:rRNA from 1 species